CGCACCCCUCGCACGAGGGGUGCGGGCGUCUUUGUUGGGGGCGCGGGGCUGUGACAUUUGCGGCUCCGCCGCGCGGGCGCGAC
rnacentral:tRNA from 1 species